rnacentral:rRNA from 1 species
UUAGAGUUUGAUCCUGGCUCAGGAUGAACGCUAUCGACAGGCUUAACACAUGCAAGUCGAGGGGCAGCGUGAGUGUAGCAAUACACUUGACGGCGACCGGCGCACUGGUGAGUAACACGUAUGCGACCUGCCCCCUACAGGGGAAUAACCCGGAGAAAUCCGGCCUAAUGCCCCAUAGUCCGUUUCCCUGCAUGGGGAGACGGGGAAAGGUGAGCCGGUAGGGGAUGGGCAUGCGGCGCAUUAGCUAGUUGGCGGGGCAACGGCCCACCAAGGCGACGAUGCGUAGGGGUUCUGAGAGGAAGGUCCCCCACAUUGGUACUGAGACACGGACCAAACUCCUACGGGAGACAGCAGUGAGGAAUAUUGGUCAAUGGGCGGGAGCCUGAACCAGCCAAGUCGCGUGAGGGAAGAAGGUCCUACGGAUUGUAAACCUCUUUUGCCGGGGAGUAUCGGGUCGGACGUGUCCGGCCGUGAGAGUACCCGGAGAAAAAGCAUCGGCUAACUCCGUGCCAGCAGCCGCGGUAAUACGGAGGAUGCGAGCGUUAUCCGGAUUUAUUGGGUUUAAAGGGUGCGCAGGCGGCGCGUCAAGUCAGCGGUCAAAGUUCCGGGCUCAACCCGGUGAUGCCGUUGAAACUGGCGUGCUCGAGUACGCGGGAGGAACGCGGAAUGCGUGGUGUAGCGGUGAAAUGCGUAGAUAUUAGGAGGAACACCGGUGGCGAAGGCGGCUUACUGGACGAUGACUGACGCUGAGGCUCGAAAGCGUGGGGAGCAAACAGGAUUAGAUACCCUGGUAGUCCACGCUGUAAACGAUGAAUACUAGGUGUUGGCACGCAUAGCGUGUCGGUGCCGCCGCAAACGCAUUAAGUAUUCCACCUGGGGAGUACGUUCGCAAGAAUGAAACUCAAAGGAAUUGACGGGGACCCGCACAAGCGGUGGAGCAUGUGGUUUAAUUCGAAGCAACGCGAAGAACCUUACCAAGUCUUGACAUCCCGGUGACCGGCACGUAACGGUGCCUUUUCUUUGGAACACCGGUGACAGGUGGUGCAUGGUUGUCGUCAGCUCGUGUCGUGAGAUGUUGGGUUAAGUCCCGCAACGAGCGCAACCCUUAUCUUCAGUAGCCAGCGGUAUGGCCGGGCACUCUGGAGAGACUGCCAGGGAUAACCUGGAGGAAGGCGGGGAUGACGUCAAAUCAUCAUGCCCCUUAUGACUUGGGCUACACACGUGCUACAAUGGCGUAAACAAAGGGAAGCAGAGCCGCGAGGCCGAGCAAAUCUCAAAAAUAACGUCCCAGUUCAGACUGUAGUCUGCAACCCGACUACACGAAGCUGGAAUCGCUAGUAAUCGCAGAUCAGAACUGCUGCGGUGAAUACGUUCCCGGCUCUUCCACACACCGCCCCUCAA